GGGGUUGUGGCUCAGUGGCAAGAGUGCUUGCCUCGUACACAAGAGGCACUAGGUUUGAUCCUCAACACCA
rnacentral:tRNA from 1 species